GACGAACGCUGGCGGCGUGCUUAACACAUGCAAGUCGAACGACGAUGCCCAGCUUGCUGGGUGGAUUAGUGGCGAACGGGUGAGUAACACGUGAGUAACCUGCCCCUGACUCAGGGAUAAGCGUUGGAAACGACGUCUAAUACUGGAUAUGACUGCCGGCCGCAUGGUCUGGUGGUGGAGAGAUUUUUUGGUUGGGGAUGGACUCGCGGCCUAUCAGCUUGUUGGUGAGGUAAUGGCUCACCAAGGCGACGACGGGUAGCCGGCCUGAGAGGGUGACCGGCCACACUGGGACUGAGACCCGGCCCAGACUCCUACGGGAGGCAGCAGUGGGGAAUAUUGCACAAUGGGCGAAAGCCUGAUGCAGCAACGCCGCGUGAGGGAUGACGGCCUUCGGGUUGUAAACCUCUUUUAGUAGGGAAGAAGCGAAAGUGACGGUACCUGCAGAAAAAGCACCGGCUAACUACGUGCCAGCCGCCGCCGUAA
rnacentral:rRNA from 1 species